GUACCUGUAGUUUAACUGGAUAGAGCAAUCGAUUUUCUUAUCGAAAGAUGGGGGUUCGAAUCCUUCUGGGUACGCCA
rnacentral:tRNA from 1 species